CCUUGCUCAUAACCAGCCCAGGAGGAUGUAACCCUCUAUGAGUCCUGUCUGUACUCAGGAGGGUUUCAAUGGGAUGAGUUUCCUGCCAACACUUGACAACAAUAUCCGUGCUGGGUCAUGGCAGUUUGAUUGGACAUCAGGGAGAAAAAGGCUCAAACGGGCCACCCAAGACCUCAGCAUGAGACAGUGAACAUGAUAUGCAAAGCUAGAACUCUAAAGGCAAAGGCCUUCCAGGAAGUUGCUGCCCUGUGGGACCUUAGCCUUCUUUCCAGAACCACUGAAUGAUUUCUGCCAUGUUUCUAUGAAGCUGACACACCUGUUUUGAAUAACAAUUUGCCGGUGCCUCUGGAUUUCCAGACAAAAGAACUUGUGAAGAUACAGGAGGA